GAUGAACGCUGGCGGCGUGCCUAAUACAUGCAAGUCGAGCGAACGGACGAGAAGCUUGCUUCUCUGAUGUUAGCGGCGGACGGGUGAGUAACACGUGGAUAACCUACCUAUAAGACUGGGAUAACUUCGGGAAACCGGAGCUAAUACCGGAUAAUAUUUUGAACCGCAUGGUUCAAAAGUGAAAGACGGUCUUGCUGUCACUUAUAGAUGGAUCCGCGCUGCAUUAGCUAGUUGGUAAGGUAACGGCUUACCAAGGCAACGAUGCAUAGCCGACCUGAGAGGGGGAUCGGCCACACUGGAACUGAGACACGGUCCAGACUCCUACGGGAGGCAGCAGUAGGGAAUCUUCCGCAAUGGGCGAAAGCCUGACGGAGCAACGCCGCGUGAGUGAUGAAGGUCUUCGGAUCGUAAAACUCUGUUAUUAGGGAAGAACAGAUGUGUAAGUAACUGUGCACAUCUUGACGGUACCUAAUCAGAAAGCCACGGCUAACUACGUG
rnacentral:rRNA from 1 species